rnacentral:lncRNA from 1 species
UCUCGAGUUGUUUAUUUUUUUUUUUUUAUGUUUUUUUGAUUUAAAAAAAAAAAAAUGGAAGUACAAAAAGAAGGUUGGUUAUUUAAGCAGUCUAAAUUUUUGAAAAGGUUACGAAAAAGAUAUAUAAUACUAACUAAAGAUUUUAUUUGCUCUUUUAAGUCGCAGUAUUAUCCUGGAGAAAAACCGACGGAAAUAUUAUAUUUUACAAAUUUUACUGAAUUGACGUCAGUAGAAGAUCUCAGAAAAAUAAGACAGGUAGAGAGGGAAAUUGGGUUAAACGACUUACAUUUGUUUAAAAUUCGUUACAUAAACAGGAACAUAGUAUUUGUAACUGUAGAUAGGGAUGAAAAAAACGAUUGGAUGAAACACAUCAGCAAACAGAUGAUUAAACAAACGGUUUUACUGAACGAUUAACAGUAAAAAAACAAAAAAAAUAUAUAAGUAAAUGUAUAGGUAAAAACGUGUGUACAUGUAUUUAUACAUACAUACAUACAUACAUACAUAUAUAUAUAUAUAUAAAUGCAAUCAAUGUACAUGUGUAUAUAU